GAUGAACGCUGGCGGCGUGCCUAAUACAUGCAAGUCGAGCGGACGGACGAGAAUCUCGCUUCACUGAUGUUAGCGGCGGAAGGGUGAGUAACACGUGGAUAACACCCCUCUAAGACUGGGAUAACUUCGGGAAACAGGAGCUAAUACCGGAUGAUAUUUUGAACCGUAUGGUUAAAAAGUUAAAGACGCUCUUGCGGUCACUGAUAGACGUAUCCGCGCUGCAUUAGCUAGUUGGUAAGGUAACGCCUUACCAAGGCAACGAUGCAUAGCCGACCUGGGAGGGUGAUCCGCCACACUAGAACUGAACCAAGGUCCGGACUCCUACGCGACGCAGGGGAGGGGAAUGUACCGCAAUGGGCGGGAGCCUGACGGAGCAACGCCACGUGAGGGAUAGAGGGCUUGGGAUCGUAAAACUCUGCUAUUAGUGAAGAACAUAUGAGUAAGUUACUGUGAACAUCUUGACGGUACCUAAUCAGAAAGCCACGGCUAACUACGUG
rnacentral:rRNA from 1 species